rnacentral:lncRNA from 1 species
ACGUCGAAGGCGAUCGGUUAUUGUAAGAAUCCAGCUGUCGGAGUCCAUCCGUCGUAGAAGCUCGUCCGAUAUCCAUCCGCUAUGGAAGUUCGGUCGAGGUCUGGUUCUUGCAGAAGGCUGAAAGGAGACCGCUUAUUGUAGAAGCUCGAUCGAAGAUUGGUUGUCGUGGGAGCUCGGAGUAGCGAUCUGGCCGGUGGGUCCUGUCCUGCUGUAGAAGCUCGUCUGGGAUCCGGCUACGAAGAAGCUCGGCUGAAGUCUACCUGUAAUAGAAGUUCGGAAGAGACGUGUUUACAGUAAAGGCUCGAAUGAAAUUUGCUUACAGUAGAGAUCCGAAGUAGACCGUCCACUGUAGGAGUUCGGAG